AUUGAACGCUGGCGGCAGGCUUAACACAUGCAAGUCGAGCGGGGAAAAGUAGCUUGCUACUGGACCUAGCGGCGGACGGGUGAGUAAUGCUUAGGAAUCUGCCUAUUAGGGGGGGACAACAUCUCGAAAGGGAUGCUAAUACCGCAUACGUCCUACGGGAGAAAGCAGGGGACCUUCGGGCCUUGCGCUAAUAGAUGAGCCUAAGUCGGAUUAGUUAGUUGGUGGGGUAAAGGCUUACCAAGGCGACGAUCUGUAGCGGGUCUGAGAGGAUGAUCCAGCAAACUAGGAAGGAGACACAUCCCAGACUCACACGUGAGGCAGCAGUGGUGAAUAUAGGGAAAUGGGGGGUACCCUAGUCGAGCCAUGCCGCGUGUUUGAAGAUGUUCUUUUUGUUGUAGAGCACUUUAAUCGAGGCGGAGGCGACCGAGAUGAAUACUCUUGUAUAGGGGACGUUACUCGCAGAAUAAGCACCGGCUUACGCUGCGCCAGCAGCCGCCGUAACAC
rnacentral:rRNA from 1 species